UAUUUCUUUUGAGAAGACUCUUGAUAUUUCGUCUCUGGAAGGGCAAAAGGGAUGAUAUUUAAACUAUUUGAGCAUAUAACUGUUAAUAGUUAGUGUUAUGAGUACGAGCAAAGCUUGAAAGUGUUUGAAAAUGAUAAUUGGAGUGAGUGACUAGGGUACAUGUAGCAUGGAGGCAUGAAGGAUUUUGUUAUCUCACUCUCCACAAUAUCCUUCCUACUCUUCACUGACAUCGAAAUGCUAAGGAACAAAACCCAUGAUGUGUCUAUGUGUUACAAAGCAAAUCAAGUGGAAAAUGAACCAUAUACCAGAAGGUUUGAAGAGUGAUAAUCGUUACUGAUAUUAUACCUGGAUCACAACCAUUGAUUUCUUAAAGGUUAGCCAGAUUGCUCCAAAUGCAUAACAAUAGCAUAUUAUAACAAUGUUAGAGGUUUCUUUAUUGGUAACACCUAAGAAUAAAAUACUUCAACAUUUAAAGCAUCUACUCUAAGUUAAAUAAUUGUAUGGAAAAGAAACAUUAAUACACCUUUAGAUUUCCUUCUCUUAAAAAAAGAAAAAGAUGUUCAUUUCAUUUCAAAUAAUUAACUUGAAAUAGACUAUAGUUUACUAUCAUUUGUAUAGACACUAAAUGGAUGAAUCAACAUAAAGACUUCUUAACUAUCAAAUCCAUUAAACUACAUUUUGCAACCACAUAGUGUUGGUAAUGACUAUGGUUAAAUUGUGCCACCUGAGCCACCCUUAGCUCGAGCUGAGCCCUAUGAAUUUUUAAAGUGCAAACCCCUCCUAAUU
rnacentral:lncRNA from 1 species